rnacentral:tRNA from 1 species
GCCUUCGUAGCGUAGUGGUCAGCACGCUCGACGCGAAACCGAGAGGUCCGUGGUUCGAUUCCCGGCGAAGGCA